rnacentral:rRNA from 1 species
AUUGAACGCUGGCGGCAUGCCUUACACAUGCAAGUCGAACGGCAGCACGGGUGCUUGCACCUGGUGGCGAGUGGCGAACGGGUGAGUAAUAUAUCGGAACGUACCUUAUUGUGGGGGAUAACGCAGCGAAAGCUGUGCUAAUACCGCAUAAUCCCUAAGGGGGAAAGCGGGGGACCGUAAGGCCUCGCGCAAUUAGAGCGGCCGAUACCUGAUUAGCUAGUUGGUGAGGUAAAGGCUCAACAAGGCAACGAUCAGUAGCUGGUCUGAGAGGACGAUCAGCCACACUGGGACUGAGACACGGCCAAGACUCCUACGGGAGGAAGCAGUGGGGAAUUUUGGACAAUGGGGGCAACCCUGAUCCAGCAAUGCCGCGUGAGUGAAGAAGGCCUUCGGGUUGUAAAGCUCUUUUGUCAGGGAAGAAACAGCAGCUCUAACACAGUUUGCGAAUGACGGUACCUGAAGAAUAAGCACCGGCUAACUACGUGCCAGCAGCCGCCGUAA